rnacentral:lncRNA from 1 species
CAAUUCUUUGAGAUACACGGUAACCCAUAACCCCACAAUUUCAGCUAAAAUGUCUUUUAUUGGCAGAGGAUUUGUUUCUCUCAUGAGAAAUGCAACAAAUAGAAUUCAUCCAAUCCAAAGCAGGGUUUGCCUCCGUACUGUGGUCCGCCAUAGAACUACAAACGAUAAUGGCGGAAUGCUAGAGGCUCCAUUUUCAAUGCGGUUUGGACUGCCCAAAGUCGUUGCCGUUGUAGUCCCAUUCCUUUAUUUUGGUGCAACAAUCAGCAAAGAAGGAGCAGCUUUCCUAGAGGAGUAUGAUAUCUUUGUUCCCGAGGAUGAUGACUAGAUGGCUUUCUUCUGCAGAGAUUCUAUCAAAUUCACAGACCUUGUUCUUAACUCAAGACCGUGCUGAGAUCGGAUACAGUGCCCCUACUUUAAAGAUCCAUGUUGGAAAUCAAUCUUCAAGAGUCAGAAUCUCAGCUCUUUUGGUACAGUGGAACAUCAUUAUAGCUAACCCCUUUUGACUACUAUUAUUUUUGGUUUGAAAUCUUGUUUGAUAAUAUGCAGAAUUAUAAUAUAAUAGAACAUAAAAAGAAAGGGUAAAGGCCCUGUCACAUGACAUUGUUCCGUGCAAGCCUUGCAGUAGACAGGAAUAUCUGUCGUUUCUGGGGAUUUAUUUAACAAUUUAUGACAUGAGUGGAGCAAACAUUAAUUCAGCAGAACAACCAAUGUACAGAGACUGAAGCUUUUGGUCUAGUCUUGCAGGUGAUUGCUUGCAACCUGUCCGCAACAAAGGUUUGAGCAUGUUCAAAAUCUGCUUGUGCUCGUGCUGCUAACUGUGUGUGAGAUACUGCAAGAAACUGUCAUUGCAGGCAACCUGCUGGUAGCAAAUAUAGUUACCCACAACUCACACCCAAGGCUUGCAUGGGACAGUGUGACAGAGCCUUUGGGAAGUUAUCUAUCCAUAUCUGUAAGUUUCCCAACUGGUGUUCUUAUUAAUGGGGUUCCAUUGUAUAUAUUUUGUCUUGGUAGCUUAACAGAAAUCUAAGCCAACUUUGACAUUGUCUUUCAGCAGACUUUAGGCAAGGUCCUAUGCCAGAUGUCCUAUGUCUGAUGAUGUUUGUAUCAGAUGCAGAGUGGUGGCUCAAACCCCUUGAUUAGUUAGGCGACUUUAUCCAAAAGAUCUUGAGGAAUGUCACGGUUGCUCACACUAAGUAUCAGUAUCAAAGGUGUGGAUUUAAUUGGUCAGAGUGGCAUGCUAGUGAAUUAUUCAUACCCUGUUGUCUACUGGAAUCCAAAGGCCCUUGUGAUAGAGCACAUUCACCCUGGCCUACUACGCAUCCCUCUUAUGCUGGCUGGUCUCCUCCUGGGCUCCAUAACACAAAGAAUAGCGAUCAAUUGCUAAAUGAACUGACCAAUCAAUAUCAAUUUUACAUGCGCAAUUGGUUUAAAAUACUGACCAGGGACCAAUCAGUGCGGUUCUUUCAUAUUUGCAAUCCAUCGAAAACCUUUGUGUUACGGAGCACAGGUCUCUUCCAUAACAUAAUUCACAUGGCCUUGACAAAAGACUAGCAGAUAUUCCACUUACUACCUUAUCUCCUUCAUCUAUAGACAAAAUAAUGGGGGAUUAGAAAAACUGUAAUGGAAUUUCCUGAGAAUGGGAAACAGGAUGCUUGAAAUCCAUGGACAUGAUUUUUGUUGAACUACCAAGACCAAGGUCUAUUUUUUGUAUAGCAUUGUGUGGAUAAAAUAUAGAUGUUAUUUAUAUGCAUAUAUAUA